rfam:Schistosoma haematobium scaffold983_11, whole genome shotgun sequence.
GCACUACUGAGGAGUCCCACAAUAGGACGAAACCUCCGUCCAGUGU